AACGCGAAGAACCUUACCUGGGUUUGACAUAUACGUAGUAGUGAACCGAAAGGGGAACGAGCCUCCGGGCAGCGUAUACAGGUGCUGCAUGGCUGUCGUCAGCUCGUGUCGUGAGAUGUUGGGUUAAGUCCCGCAACGAGCGCAACCCUCAUCGCUAGUUACAAGUGUCUAGCGAGACUGCCGGUAUCAAACUGGAGGAAGGUGGGGAUGAUGUCAAGUCAGCAUGGCCUUUAUAUCCAGGGCUACACACACGCUACAAUGGGUAGUACAAUGGGCAGCGAAAGGGCGACCUGGAGCUAAUCCUAUCAAAGCUAUUCGUAGUUCGGAUUGCAGGCUGCAAUUCGCCUGCAUGAAGCCGGAGUUGCUAGUAAACGUAGGUCAGCACACUACGUUGAAUACGUUCCCGGGUCUGUACACACCG
rnacentral:rRNA from 1 species